rnacentral:rRNA from 1 species
CCAGACUCCUACGGGAGGCAGCAGUAGGGAAUCUUCCACAAUGGGCGAAAGCCUGAUGGAGCAACGCCGCGUGGGUGAAGAAGGUCUUCGGAUCGUAAAACCCUGUUGUUAGAGAAGAAAGUGCGUGAGAGUAACUGUUCACGUUUCGACGGUAUCUAACCAGAAAGCCACGGCUAACUACGUGCCAGCAGCCGCGGUAAUACGGAGGAUGCGAGCGUUAUCCGGAUUUAUUGGGUUUAAAGGGUGCGUAGGCGGUCCGUUAGGUCAGCGGUAAAAUGGCGGGGCUCACCCCCGUCGAGCCGUUGAAACUGGCAGACUUGAGUUGGCGAGAAGUACGCGGAAUGCGCGGUGUAGCGGUGAAAUGCAUAGAUAUCGCGCAGAACUCCGAUUGCGAAGGCAGCGUACCGGCGCCAGACUGACGCUGAGGCACGAAAGCGUGGGGAUCGAACAGGAUUAGAUACCCGAGUA